CUAGCAGUAAAAAAAAGUCAGCUAAAUGCUAUGAAAAAAAAGGUUUCCUAAUCAACUUGAAAAAUAAGACAAUACUACAGACACACACAGAGACAGAGCCAGUGGCCGGGUCUUCUGAAGACCACGGAGGAAGGAUGGUGGAGGUGGCUGCCUACAAAAACUCUUGUGUCAUACUUGAGGAAACAUGUAAUGGCUGAGCCCGGCAGAAAUGUCCUUCUUGAAUGAGUACUGCAAAGUGAUGAAGCCUUUGGUUCAUUCUACAGUCUGAGACCAACACACAUAUGGGGUGGCUGCUGCCAGUGAUCUUCUUACUAAAAACAAAACUUCAAAGGAUGGAAGCAUCCUGCCAAAUGUGCCUACCACUUAUCAGAGCCGUUUAGAACGGUCUCCAAAUGCGCUUUGGAGAAAUGAUGGAGGAGCCACAGCUUAUUGCUGCUGCAAUCCUUCUGCCAAAGUUCAAGACGUCUUGGACUGACAAAGCUGAUGUCAUCACAGCCGUGUACAGGUUUGGCCUACCUGAAGAAUCAUCUUGACACGAUCACACAGGACGAGACUGAGCAUCUAAGGCAGAAUUCAUCUGAUGAAGAGAAUUUCUUCUCAUCACUGACAACCAAACGGUCAGAAGGUACAGGGUAGCUGGAUGGGUACCUUGCUAGUCCAUCGGACAAAAUGGAUUUACUUCAUUUGUUUCCGUACAUAAAGAAGUUGUCAAUAGGUAGUUUCACAAAAAAAUAUGCCUUUUGAACAUUUCUU